UCGUAACAAGGUUUCCGUAGGUGAACCUGCGGAAGGAUCAUUACCGAGUGAGGGCCCUUUGGGUCCAACCUCCCACCCGUGUUUAUUUACCUCGUUGCUUCGGCGGGCCCGCCUUAACUGGCCGCCGGGGGGCUCACGCCCCCGGGCCCGCGCCCGCCGAAGACACCCCCGAACUCUGCCUGAAGAUUGUCGUCUGAGUGAAAAUAUAAAUUAUUUAAAACUUUCAACAACGGAUCUCUUGGUUCCGGCAUCGAUGAAGAACGCAGCGAAAUGCGAUACGUAAUGUGAAUUGCAAAUUCAGUGAAUCAUCGAGUCUUUGAACGCACAUUGCGCCCCCUGGUAUUCCGGGGGGCAUGCCUGUCCGAGCGUCAUUGCUGCCCUCAAGCCCGGCUUGUGUGUUGGGCCCCGUCCUCCGAUUCCGGGGGACGGGCCCGAAAGGCAGCGGCGGCACCGCGUCCGGUCCUCGAGCGUAUGGGGCUUUGUCACCCGCUCUGUAGGCCCGGCCGGCGCUUGCCGAUCAACCCAAAUU
rnacentral:misc_RNA from 1 species